GAGUCGCCUCCAGAUCGCAGCUGAAGGAUCUGUUGAGCGCUUCAGGAAAGGCGGUGAGAUCCGGUACCGCAGCAGAGCACUCUCAGCUCUGGGUCUUGCAGGCGCAGGGCUCCCCCAUGCCAGCAGAAAGAUUUCCUCUGGUGAAGAGGACCGUCGAAUCUGUCCUCCUCAAGACACCUCUUGUACAGAAUUUAUUCGAAUGCCACGGCCAAGGUCUUCCUUGAAAAAUGUUAACCGAUGUGUGCUUUUUGUCUUUUGUCAUCCUUUCUUUAGGACAGGCGACACUAACAGGUGAAGAUCUCGGGAGACCAUGACUAAGAAAAGAAUUGCUGUGAUUGGGGGAGGAGUGAGCGGGCUCUCUUCCAUCAAGUGCUGCGUAGAAGAAGGCUUGGAACCUGUCUGCUUUGAAAGGACUGAUGACAUCGGAGGGCUCUGGAGGUUCCAGGAAAAUCCUGAAGAAGGAAGGGCCAGUAUUUACAAAUCAGUGAUCAUCAAUACUUCUAAAGAGAUGAUGUGCUUCAGUGACUAUCCAAUCCCAGAUCAUUAUCCCAACUUCAUGCAUAAUGCCCAGGUCCUGGAGUAUUUCAGGAUGUAUGCCAAAGAAUUUGACCUUCUAAAGUAUAUUCGAUUUAAGGUAGAAAAUUGUGUGGGUAUCUUUGUGUUUGAAGUUGUUUGCCAAGUAAAUGAAUAACGUGGUUUCAGUUACCAAUGUUUACUUCUAAAGAUUGGCUUGAUUUGCACAUGUAUUUAUCCUACCCAGGCAAAAACUCCAUUCUUUGUCCUCCUUUGCUCCUCAAAAAUAUUCAAGGGACGGUCUCUCUUUCAUAUAUUUUUGGCUGCGGAUACAGGAAGCCACCUGGCAGAGUGUUUUCAUUACCUUCAUUCCACAUUAUUUGAUUGCAAUAAACAGAUGAAGGGAAAUGUUUUCCCCAUUACAGAAGGGAACUGAUAGGUAUGGGAACUUUAAAACUCUCUGGUUCCACAACUUGUCCAUUACUGCUUAGCCCUUUUGUACUUUCUGAAGUACUUUCCAAUAUAUUUGUUUACAUGAACAUCAUAAAAACCCAGUAAAGUAUAGCUGUUGGGUAGUUAACUCUGGUGUAGAGGGGAGAACAUGGAAUUGCAGAAUAAAAACCUGAAUUCUGGUGCUUGCCCUACCACUAACUAACUUAGAUGUUAGACAAGCAAUUUCCUCAAUUUCAAUUUUUAAAAAUUUUCUUGUUUGUAAAACAAGAUGAUUGUACCAGAUCACUUCUGUGGUUCCUUCCUGCUCUAAAGUAUUCUAGGACUUUUCUAUAAUUUCUGAUCAUGACCAUAAAAGAAUUUUAUGGUCAGAUAUUUCUGACAGCUGGCAAAAAGCCCAAACCUUCUGCCUUCUGAUCAUCCUGCUAAGUCAUGCCUUUUUCUGCUUAACGACAAUAAGAAAAUGAAAACAUCUAGUGAACUUCUAAAGUAAGUCAUUUACAUUCCAGUGGUGCUUCUCUUCAUUUAUUUAAACAAUACUUAUUGAACAAGUUUGCUACCAUACUAAGCAUUGAAUAUGCAAAGACAAAAAAGAAAAAUCAGUAACUUUAUAGUCUAGUUAAGGGGAUAAAAAUGAAGAAAAA
rnacentral:sRNA from 1 species